rfam:Arabis alpina cultivar Pajares chromosome 4, whole genome shotgun sequence.
GGAGUAUCGGUGAUGAUUCCAAGAACAAAAUUGUUAUCCUUGCACUUUGAUUGCUAGUGAAGAAAAAUAUGGGGUGUGCAAUUCUGAGAUGCUU